ensembl:ncRNA lncRNA:CR46411 long non-coding RNA:CR46411
CAAUGACUGCACAUUGUUUCUACAACGUCCUCCAACCGUAUCCCUCGGCCUCAGUGUUAAAUAGGAGUGACGAACCGGAAGUUUUCAGAUACAACAACUGCUGACCCAGUGGGGUUUGGGUGGCCAAAAUAGACCUGAUCGGUUGGUCUUUUGCACUUGACUGCAUCCUUAACCUUUUGCCCAAGCUGAAUUCGAAGACACCUGAAAGUGCCACUUGAGCAUUUUCAGAUUCUUUAUUUACCACCACUUGAGCACCCCGCCCAACGCCCACCCAAAUAAAUUUCCGGUUUGUUUUCCACAUUUUUG